UGUAUAGCUAAUGUGCCCCUUGGAGGGGGAUAACAGUUGGAAACGGCUGCUAAUACCCCAUACUCCUUCAUUCUUAAUGAGUGAAGGGAAAGUUUUUUCGCCAAGGGAUCAGGCUAUAUGGUAUCAGCUAGUUGGUGAGGUAACGGCUCACCAAGGCAAUGACGCCUAACUGGUCUGAGAGGAUGAUCAGUCACACUGGAACUGAGACACGGUCCAGACUCCUACGGGAGGCAGCAGUGGGGAAUAUUGCACAAUGGAGGAAACUCUGAUGCAGCAACGCCGCGUGGAGGAUGACGCAUUUCGGUGUGUAAACUCCUUUUAUAUAGGAAGAUAAUGACGGUACUAUAUGAAUAAGCACCGGCUAACUCCGUGCCAGCAGC
rnacentral:rRNA from 1 species